rnacentral:rRNA from 1 species
CCUACGGGAGGCAGCAGUGGGGAAUAUUGGACAAUGGGCGCAAGCCUGAUCCAGCCAUGCCGCGUGUGUGAAGAAGGCCUUCGGGUUGUAAAGCACUUUUAUCCGGAAAGAAAAGCUUUGGGUUAAUACCCUGAAGUCAUGACGGUACCGGAAGAAUAAGCACCGGCUAACUUCGUGCCAGCAGCCGCGGUAAUACGAAGGGUGCAAGCGUUACUCGGAAUUACUGGGCGUAAAGCGUGCGUAGGUGGUUUGUUAAGUCUGAUGUGAAAGCCCUAGGCUCAACCUGGGAAUUGCAUUGGAUACUGGCAGGCUAGAGUGCGGUAGAGGAUAGUGGAAUUCCCGGUGUAGCAGUGAAAUGCGUAGAGAUCGGGAGGAACAUCUGUGGCGAAGGCGACUAUCUGGGCCAGCACUGACACUGAGGCACGAAAGCGUGGGGAGCAAACAGGAUUAGAUACCCUGGUAGUCCACGCCCUAAACGAUGCGAACUGGAUGUUGGGUGCAACUAGGCACUCAGUAUCGAAGCUAACGCGUUAAGUUCGCCGCCUGGGGGAGGUACGGUCGCGAGACGUGAACGUACGAAUAGAGUUAGUACGGACGUUGAGACGNGCCGACGGACGACGACGAGGGAGGAGGG